rnacentral:ncRNA from 2 species
UUUACAUCCCCGGGGAGCCGAAGGCUGAGAGGUGGCGCUGCGAUGCCCACGACCCGCUGAACCUGAUCCGGCUCGCACCGGCGUAGGGAGGGAACGCCGCCAGCGG